rfam:Pan troglodytes isolate Yerkes chimp pedigree #C0471 (Clint) chromosome 3, whole genome shotgun sequence.
GGCAGCAUGAUACACACAUAUAUAGUCCCAGCUACUCUGGAGCCUGAGGCAGGAGGAUCACUUGAGUCCAGGAGUUCUGGGCUAUAGUGCACUAUGAUGAUCAGGUGUCCACACUAAGUUUGGUAACAAUAUCUUGUCCCCCUGGGAGUAUGGGACCACCAGGUUGCCUAAGGAGGGGCGAACUAGCCCAGUUCAGAAGCAUAAAAGGUCAAAACUCCCGUGGUGAUCAUUAAUGGGAUUAAGCCUGUGAAUAGCCGCUGCACCACAGCCUGGGCAACACAGCUGAGACCCUGCCUCUG